rnacentral:rRNA from 1 species
CAGAACUUAGCAGUACAUGCUUCGUUCAGCUUCGUGUGAACUGUGAGAACCGUGCUGGAAGGCUGUCGUCAGCUCGUGUCUGUGAAAUGUUUGGGUUAAAGUCCCCCAAAGGANAUUUAACCCUUAAUCGUUGNGUGCCAGCGGUUCAGGCCGGGAACUCGAAAGGAGACUGCCAGUGAUAAACUGGAGGAAGGUGGGGAUGACGUCAAGUCAUCAUGGCCCUUACGACCAGGGCUACACACGUGCUACAAUGGCAUAUACAAAGAGAAGCGACCUCGGGAGGAGCAAGCGGACUUNUAAAGUAUGUCGUAGUCCGGAUUGGAGUCUGCGAAGUCGACGUCCAAUGAAGUCGGAAUCGCUAGGUAAAAUCGGUAGGAUCAGGAAUGC